AUGCAGCUCGCGCUCAUGCGGACUGAGUCAGACGGCGGCAACCAUCAGGGCCAGGAGCAUGGGCAUGGCGCGGCUACCCUGGUCCCAAGCCUAACACCAUCGUUGGGUGGUGCCGUCCGUCUCCGUCCGCCAGGAAAGGGCCAAGCCCCGGGCCGACGUAAAGGACUUCUACCUCCUGCCUCGGCGUCCAUGGUGUAG
rnacentral:rRNA from 1 species